rnacentral:rRNA from 1 species
GAGAAAGAGGGGGGCAAUACGAGACCGAAUGGAAUGAUGAAGGAUUUUCGUGACUGUCUAGAAGAAUGUGGCUUGGAUGAUAUGGGGUUCAUAGGCGACCCCUUUACAUCGAGGAGAGGUGAGAUUAGGGAACGUCUUGACCGUGCAGUAUGUAAUGUACAAUGGGCGCAUAAAUUUCCUCGGGCGGCAGUGAUUAAUGAAAACCAUGUACAUUUUGACCACCGACCGCUAGUUUUGGAUAUGGAUUAUUUUGACGGUAAUAUGUUUAGGCCGCUGAAUAGGGGUAUUAAAAAAUUUGAAGCCAGAUGGCUUAAAGAAGAAUUGUUACUCCCUACUUCCAUCUAUAUAGGGCCUAUUGCGUUUUUCGAGGCUAACUUUGAUCAAAUAUUAGAGCAAUAA